GAUCCUGGCUCAGGAUGAACGCUAGCUACAGGCUUAACACAUGCAAGUCGAGGGGCAGCAUGCUGAUAGCUUGCUAUCAGUGAUGGCGACCGGCGCACGGGUGAGUAACGCGUAUCCAACCUGCCUGUCACUCAGGAAUAGCCCGGUGAAAACCGGAUUAAGUCCUGAUGAUAUCAUUAGAGGGCAUCUGACGAUGAUUAAAGGUUACGGUGACGGAUGGGGAUGCGUCUGAUUAGCUAGUUGGGUGAGGUAAACGGGCCCCACCAAGGCGACGAUCAGUAGCCGGACUGAGAGGUUGAACGGCCACAUUGGGACUGAGACACGGCCCAGACUCCUACGGGAGGCAGCAGUGGGGAAUAUUGCACAAUGGGGGAAACCCUGAUGCAGCGAUGCCGCGUGGAGGAAGAAGGUUUUCGGAUUGUAAACUCCUGUCUUAAAGGACGAUAAUGACGGUACUUUAGGAGGAAGCUCCGGCUAACUACGUG
rnacentral:rRNA from 1 species